GUAUCAGAUAUGUCACACUACCUAAGGAAAGAAGACAAAAGAACACGUAGCUUUUCUUGUUGCAAACGAAAGAAUUAACUUCAGAAUCCGCCCUCCACCUGAUGUUUCCCAUAGCCAAAUCAAUCUAGAUGUGAGUUUUUCUUUGUGACAUUUCCACCUCUUGCUAGAUACGGACAAAACUGCGGAGGAAGCGCCUGGCAGCAGCGGCUCAAGGAGAGACGGGGGGAAAAAAGAGGAGUUUGCCGCACUUGCGUGACUUCUCUAGAAAGAGCUGCCCAGCGCUGCGCGGAGGUCUCUUCACCUCACGCCGGUCCUUCCACACGCACGGUUUGUUCUCGGCCAGGGAGGCGAGGACAAAGUCACCGCACGGGAAGCGACGGUGCUAAGCAAACCCUCCACCACAGCCCCGGCUCGCCCCCGGCGGGCCGCUCCCUGCCCGCCUGGGCCCCCGAGGCCGAGGAGGGGGGACCACGGCCUGGCCUCGGAGACCCAAACCCCGCUCCGGGCUCCCACCUCCGCCGGCCCCCUGAGGGGCUUUGCGGGCCCGCCGCCGACAUGGCGGACGCCGGCGCGAGCUCGCCCUCGGCCCGCGCCGUCGCCUAGGCGAUGGGCCGCGCGCUACGAGGCGGGGCCAGGGCGUGGCCUCAUUGGUUCCCUUUUCCCCGUCGGGAUGAUGGGGGGGGGGGGGGGGGGGGGGGGGCGGGAACGGAACGACGAGGGAGCUGUGGCUAUAAAUAAACCGCGCUUCCUGAUUGGCCGGGGGGAAAAAUGGUCGCACCACGUGACUCUCCAUCUAAAAAUUCCAAGAUGGCGGAUCCCGUCACGGGCUGAGUCCGUUGGUGGCGCGCGCGCCGCGGUCUCCGCGCCGGGGCCAUCACCGCACGGCUUCCCCGCCUCGCCCGCCGCCACCCAGGUUCCCAUUUUGAAAGCCAUUAGAAGAUAUUCUGCCACCCUGUUGGAUUACUCCCUACACAACUCAGCAUGUCACUGUGCCCUGGAUUUUAUAAGGUGGCCAUGA
rnacentral:lncRNA from 1 species